rnacentral:lncRNA from 1 species
GCCUUUUCUAGGGCUGCUCCCACGUCAUAUGGAGGUUCCCAGACUCGGGAUCCAAUCAGAUGGAGCUGUGGCCGCCAGCCUAUGCCACAGCCACAGCCACCCCAGAUCCGAGCUGCAUCUGCAACCUACACCACAGCUCACGGCAACGACGGAUCCCUAAUCCACUGAGCAAGGCCAGGGAUCGAACCCGCACCCUCAUGGUUCCUAGUCAGAUUCGUUAACCACUGCACCAUGAUAGGAACUUCCCCGCUCUUUUUUCAAUAACCCACUGCUACUCGGAUGGUGAUACAGGAAGGAGGAAAACUAGCUUAUGCAUUUGCUACAGCCUCUGUCAAUUUACAGGUCACACUCAGCAUCUCCUAACCAUGCUAACAGGACCGGUGGCCAGGCUGCUGCGGGCAGGUAGGGGUGGAGGGGUGGUGAUGUUCUAUCUUCUCAUCAUUCCCCAUCCCCAGUGAUGAUGGGUCAGUCUCCAGGACAUAGAGGCUUCCUAUGCUCAGUAAUGUCCACGGAUUCUGCAGUCCUAGGAAAUUCCGGAAGCCUCCCAUGUUGGGCGGAGGAUCAAUUUGUUCUCCACGUGGGUGGCAUCAUUUGACUCUGCUUUGGAGGCGAGGGCAGCCUGUGACUCUGGCCACAAACAUAGCGUGAGAUGCCCCUGGAUCCAAGUCCAGGGGAAACAAGCCAGUUGGGCCAUGAGAUCAGAGGCUUUCUGGCAGGACUCCGGGAAGGGCCGGGCAGGCAAGAACGGAUCCCGUUGUCUCAGAGGAUUCCGUCUCAAACAAGGAGAAGGUGUCAUCCAUGACGCCCUGCUGGUGGCGGGUCCAGGCAGAGAAGCCGGAAGAUGACACAGCCCCUCAACUGAGGAAAGCUCCUCCCUCACCUUGAAGAGGCUCCUGUUCCUCUGGAAAACUCUUAUUUUAGCUUCGAGGUCCAAGGAAAAGGCCACCUCCUCCAUGGAGCCCUCUCGCCCUGCCUGCUUCCAUGCCCCGAGAUGUGAGCGGUGAGCGGGUACCACAGUGAUGCGAAGCCUCCUGGCUCCCCCACAGAGCGUGUGCUCCUGCACAACUGCCUCUCACGUGUCUCACGAUUCGAGAUGAUGUACAGAUGUGUCUGCUGACUGGUUUGUCUGUUUCAACACAGGAAUUUAAGCUUCCUGGGGGCGGGGACUGUGCAUCACUAGGUCCCUAGCUACCAGCAUCUGAGAGGCACUUGCCACAGUUUGCUGAAUAAAUGAUGUUAGCUCCUCAGGGGUUCCUCGAGCGCCCACCCUGGGGUGGGCACAGAGUGAUCGAUCACACAGGACAGGUUGAAUGAAUAAGGACUGGUUUUUUAAAUGUAUAUUGUACAGCACAGGGAACUCUAUCUAGUCUCUUGGGAUAGACCGUUAUGGAAAAUAAUAUGAGAAAAAGAAUGGAUAUAAAUGUAUAUAUAUGUAUGACGGGAUCACUUUGCUAUACAGAAGAAAUUGGCACAACAUAACCAUGCUUUAAUAAAUAAAGGAGAAAAAUAAGACAUAUAAAUAAGCGGUCCUUGGAGUUCCCGGGGGGAUCAGUAGAUUAAGGAUCUGGCAUUGUUACUGCUAUGGCUGGGGUUAGAUCCCUGGCCCAGGAACAGCCACUUUUUGGCUGUAGGUGUGGCUAAAAAAUAAAAAAUACAUUUUAAAAAUUAAAAAAAUGCUAUCCUGGAGUUUCUGUCGUGGCACAGCAAAAAUGAAUCCGACUAGGAACCAUGAGAUUGUGGGUUAGAUCCCUAGCCUCGCUCAUCACUGUGCCUCCUUGUGGCUCUGUUUCUUCCUGUGAGCUGGGCAGGCAAUACACACACCUCGUGGCAGUUGCAGGGAUUAAACACGCAAACUUUCACGGCCUCUGCACAGGCCCUGGAGCCUCGUGCCACGGUGGGAAAAGGUGAUUGACUCCGAGGUGUAUACAGGCCACCUCGGUCCGCUCUGCCCUCCCUCCUCCACACUCCCCAAGCAGAGGGCAGGCCUCUGCAGGAAGAGGCUCAGACGCACGCGUGUGUUUGCCUGUUGGGUUGCAUGCCUAGCCCCGCAAAAUGCUCUGACCAGAAGCAGCCGCUGCCUCUGCAGUCCCUAGGGCAUCUUGUCCUCUCUCAGGGGCUGAUUCUGUGCCAGAUCCAUGCCCUUUGCCCCAGGGGCCUCUGUGGGCAGGUCCUGUCCCCAGAGGUACCCAGGUUUUAGCUCAGAGCCCUUCCCAGGAGGGAGUCCAGGAGGGCUGAUGGGGAAGAUGCUUCUGGCUUCCCUGCUCAGAAGAUACUGGAGGACAUGUUUUCUGGGGCAGGAGAAGAGAGGGGUUGCCAGGAGGGACGGGACAUGGGAGCAAGAAUGGUGCUGAUGGAGACAGCUGCCCCCUCCCCUGCCGGUACCAUAAUCCCAGGCAUCCAGGAGGAAAGGCCAGGGCCGCUCACAGCUCAGCACCCCAAAACUGCUCAAGGAGACACUGGAAGGCCAACCAUCUGCCCUGCCCAGAGCCCCAAAGCUGCUCUCAGAGAGAGACACUGGAAGGCCAAUGAAGCCAUCUGCCCAGAGCCCCAAAGCUGCUCUCAGAGAGAGACACUGGAAGGCCAAUGAAGCCAUCUGCCCAGAGCCCCAAAGCUGCUCUCAGAGAGAGACACUGGAAGGCCAAUGAAGCCAUCCGCCUGGAUACCUCACAUGCUCCCCAGCCACCUCCUUCAGAGCUUGGGAGACCUGAGCCUGCAGGGAAAAGCACCUGUCUCUGAUCAAACAUCAUUUACAAGUUAGGACUCAGCAGUCCCCAGAGCAAGGCCUGGGCUAAGCCUUCCUCCGUGGAUUAGAAUCAGGGAAGUUCAGUUUUAUAGGGGAAUUUCUGGCCAUUCUCGGACUGGCCUCCACUUUACAACAUCUGCUCCCGCCCCCUGACGACUAACUCCAAUCCCCGGUAAGAAGCAGGCUUGGGGGAACGGGAAAGCGCUGCUCCACCCUUGUCCCACCCCUGCAGGCAGGGAAUGAGGAGGCACAACGAGACCUGCCCCUCCCUGGGCUACCUGCGGGGAGUCCCGCCCUGGCACACACCUGCCCAGAGGGCGGAUUCUGGUAAGAAGCUGGGUGAGUCCUCCUCCGCUGUGGCCCCAGGACAGGGCGCUAAGCCCGGCUCACAGUACAAAGCCCUAGCCUCCUGGGGUGGGGUGGGGGGUGGGGUAGAGGAAGGGGACAGGAGAAUACCAAUUCAGGGGAGGGUGGGAGCAGCCAACAAAGAGGGGGUAGGAAGGAAGGAUGCAGGAUUUUCACCCUUUCUGCUGGGGCGGGGGGCAAGCAGAGAACUUAGGACCAGAACCAGUGCAAUUAGUUCCCACCCACCCCCCGCCCCCCAGGGUGAGGAUCUGACGGAGGCUCUAAGUUGGGGUGGCUGUGCUAGGAGCAGGAAGAGGCUCUGAGGGCCUCUCCCCUCUGCCUGGCCCUGGGGGCCGGGGACUCAGCCCAGGACCUCACAAGAAGUAAGGAGUCCCAGAGGUCCCCGAAUACACCUCUAACCUGAAGAACAGUCUCUGCUCCUGACCUGGUUCCUCUUAGGAUGCUCCCACUAGUCAUCUUAGCAAAGUGACCCCGAGGGUGCAAGUCACAUUCCUGGGUGGCUGCCUGUCCCACUGUGGCCACUGCUGGAGAUGCCCGCCCAUCAGGCCUCGCCCAAUUCUCUGGCUCUGACCCUGAGCCAGCGUGUGCAAAGCCCAUGGGGCUCCAUCCUGGAGCCAAGAGGGAGGAGGGCUCCAGGGCAGAGGGCUGCCCCGCCAGGGGGUGGGAGUGGUCACAGUAAGAGGCAUCCGGCCGCCCUCUCAGCUCAGUAAUCACCAACUUCCUUCAGCCCGGUGGAUCUGGGAGCAUGUACCCGGGACGGGAAGCUCCCAGAAAACCAGAGGGAAUCUGCCACUCUUCCCAGGCCGCUGACAUUUUCUAAGCGUCUCCUGGAAGCGUGGUUUCCCAGGGGGCUCGGAGGGUCCCGCGAGGCUGAGGUCAUACUUUCCCUGAACCGGGAGCCGGGUGCUCGGCUACACUCAGCCCUCCUCACCGCAGAUCACCAGGCUCUUGUCCCCUCCCAGAGCGGGUCCCAGGCUGCGCUCCUCUAGGAGGGGUCCAGCCGGCCAUGGGGAACCCCGUCUCUACUUCAGGUCUCAGCCUACACCUCCCGCCACCUCCCUUCACCCGAGGAAUCCCCAAAGGUUUUGGCGCUGGAGCAAUUAGCUGAUCCCGGCUGGGGCUGAAACCCCCUCUCCUUCCACUCCCCAGGUGGCCAAGGUUCGCGCCCCCAGGGCCCCGCCGCACUGCAGGGAACCUGGGAAGUUCGGUCCAGUUGUGCUAUUGAUCCAGUUUCGUCCCCGACCCUGGGGGACAACAAGCGCUCCACCUU